rnacentral:rRNA from 1 species
AGUGAACGCUGGCGGCAGGCCUAACACAUGCAAGUCGAACGGAAGCACGGAGAUUGCUUCUUGAUUCAGCGGCCGACGGGCGAGUAAGGCCUAAGAACCUGGGUGGCUGUGGGUGCGUAGGGGCGGACACGGGGGCUAAUACCCCAUAACGCCUGAGGGACAACGGGGGAGAGCAUGGGACCUCACGCCCUCAGAUGAGCGUAGGUCGGAUUAGCUAGUUGGUGGGGUAAAGGCCUACCAAGGCGACGAUCCGUAGCUGGUCUGAGAGGAUGAUCAGUCACACUGGAACUGAGACACGGUCCAGACUCCUACGGGAGGCAGCAGUGGGGAAUAUUGGACAAUGGGCGCAAGCCUGAUCCAGCCAUGCCGCGUGGGUGAAGAAGGCCUUCGGAUUGUAAAGCCCUUUUAUUUGGGAGGAAGAGCAGUAAGUUAAUACCUUGCUGUUUUGACGUUACCAACAGAAUAAGCACCGGCUAACUUCGUG